rnacentral:rRNA from 1 species
UACGUAGGGUGCAAGCGUUAAUCGGAAUUACUGGGCGUAAAGCGUGCGCAGGCGGUUUUGUAAGUCUGACGUGAAAUCCCCUGGCUCAACCUGGGAAUUGCGUUGGAGACUGCAAGGCUAGAAUCUGGCAGAGGGGGGUAGAAUUCCACGUGUAGCAGUGAAAUGCGUAGAGAUGUGGAGGAACACCGAUGGCGAAGGCAGCCCCCUGGGUCAAGAUUGACGCUCAUGCACGAAAGCGUGGGGAGCAAACAGG